rnacentral:lncRNA from 1 species
UUUUUUUUUUUUUCUUACAGAAUAUUCAGUCGAGUCUGCUGGAAAAGCUCUAUCGAAACCGAUCCAACUUGGAGACCAUUUUUAGGAUCAUAGACAGCGACCAUUCAGGUAAACUCACUCAUUGCCCUGACACGUUCCACGCACAGGGAUUAUUUCUCCUCAGACCCUUUAGUUUUCUUCACAGUUCUCACCUCUUGAGUUGCAUGCAGCUGUUGAGUUGUCCCCAGCAGUGUCAGAAAAACUACUCUCUGUUUUGUUUUGAGACACGGUUUC